rnacentral:rRNA from 1 species
AUUGAACGCUGGCGGCAGGCUUAACACAUGCAAGUCGAGCGGGGUGAUGGUGCUUGCACUAUCACUUAGCGGCGGACGGGUGAGUAAUGCUUAGGAAUCUGCCUAUUAGUGGGGGACAACAUCUCGAAAGGGAUGCUAAUACCGCAUACGUCCUACGGGGGAAAGCAGGGGAUCACUUGUGACCUUGCGCUAAUAGAUGAGCCUAAGUCGGAUUAGCUAGUUGGUGGGGUAAAGGCCUACCAAGGCGACGAUCUGUAGCGGGUCUGAGAGGAUGAUCCGCCACACUGGGACUGAGACACGGGCCAGACUCCUACGGGAGGUAGCAGUGGGGAAUAUUGGACAAUGGGGGGAACCCUGAUCCAGCCAUGCCGCGUGUGCGAAGAAGGCCUUAUGGUUGUAAAGCACUUUAAGCGAGGAGGAGGCUCUUUUGGUUAAUACCCAAGAUGAGUGGACGUUACUCGCAGAAUAAGCACCGGCUAACUCUGUGCCAGCAGCCGCAGUAA